CUCCUGUCUGCAGGAUUUACGCGCACGUUGGAACCGAAGAGAGCUCUGUUGUUGCAAUGUUCAGCCCACAAGACCUUACUGGUGAAGGAAUGGGACAAGACCCAUCUUUAUGCAAAGCCAGCGUUACAGUAAUGUCCCAGCAUCUCAUAAUCUAUCCUGGGGAAUUCAGCUGCCUCCCAGGGUGAAUACAGGUAUUCCUGAUGACAGUCUGCCUUCUAUCUUACAGAGCAGCUUGUUGCUAUAUACCAUUGAAAAGCCUUCAGAGCUGAGAGGUUAGUUGAUAUUUUUUGUUCCUUACAGCUUAUGCCACCAAGUAGGCAGUUUCUAUGAUGAAUCAAACUAGCUCACUAUGACCGACAGUGAAAAUACAUGAACACCUGAGAAACUGGAGAACGCAGGGAGUGGGGGGUAACCAUGUCUGAGGAAUCUUUCACCCACAGCUUUGUUUUUCUCUAGGUACUACUAACCAAUAACCUGCUUGGCUCAAAGGGCCAGCACCUUCUCUCUAAAGCCCAAGAGGAGUUUGAGGUAAA
rnacentral:sRNA from 1 species